rnacentral:lncRNA from 1 species
UUCUCCAACACCCUUAUCUACCACAGGCUCGGGUUUUCUACUGUGCACCGCACAGUGCGGUGCAUAAUGCACCAUUCAUUGCACGAUGGACGGUCGCGUGCGGAUGCACGCCUGUUGCGCACGGUCGUGCUCGACCAUCCAUAGCGCAGUGGAUGGGACGUACGUGCACUGCACGGUGCGGUAUACAGUAGAAGAUUCGC